CUUCUGUUCAGUGACUGGCAGGAGAGUAGCGCUGUGCUGUGUGCUCCCCUUCUGUGCACCAACCCUGAAGUAAUGGCGGUCCGAGGUCACACGGGUCCUAGCUGUGGUUGGACCCUCUAGUAGUUAUGCCACUGCUUUCAGGUAAGUUUACGUUUUGCUAUCGAAAUUUAAGGUGUCCCUAUAGGUAUACACUGAUCAGACACAACAUUAAAACAACCUGCCUAAUAUCAUGUAGGUCCCCUCGUGCUAAAACAGCUCUGAUGCAUUGAGACAUGGACUCCACAAGACCUUUGAAUGUGUCCUGUGGCACCGAGACAUUAGCAGCAGAUCCUUUAAGUUCAGCAAGUUGCGAAGUGGAGCCUCCAUGGAUCGAAUUUGUUGUUCCAGCAAAUCCUACUAAUGCUCAUUUGGAUGAAGAUCUGGGGAGUUUGGGGGCCAAGGCAACACCUUGAAGCUAUUUCAAAUUUCUUAAACCAUUAUUGAAAAGUUUUUGCUGUGUUGCAGGGUGCAUUAUCUUCCUGAAAGAGGUCACUGACAUCAGGGAACACCAUUGCCAUGAAGGGGUGUUUGUGGUCUGCAACAAUCUCUAGGUAGAGAGUAUGUAUCAAAGUAACAUCCAUAUGAAUGCCAGGAACCAAGGUUUCACAGCAGAAUAUUGCUUCUCCAAAAUAUAUAUAUGAGGAAUGCUUUUUGUUCAAAGCUACAUAUAGGGAAGUCAAGAUGAAAUAAGAAAGUUUGAGGAAAAAGUUCUUGUAUAUAUAAAGUUUUAAAGAUAUUUAUAAUAUUAUUUUUAGUUUUAGCUAAGCCAUUGCAUUCCCACCACAUAUGGUACAAUGUUCCUACCAUACUAUUACAUCUCCGGCAGAGAUCUGAAUAGUUAUAUUUAAACGUUUUGAUUCUAUGAGGAAUGUGAUACCAUCGAUGCAUCAUUUAAAAAAAAGUUUCAUGGAGGUUAAGACUAUGAGUGUUUUGUUUUUUUAACUUGUAUAAAAGCCUUCCCCCAAUCAUCUAUUGAGAAUGACUUAUUCAUUUCUACUUCCCAUUUAUUUAAUGAUAGAGGCUUUUCUGUAUCCUUGAUAGAUUUUAAUAGUUGCGUAGCUCUAAAGAUAUGUUUGUUUUUAAAAUGUUUAUUAAUGAGGUUUUCAUAUUCAGGGUGUUCCUUAACACUAAGGAAAACAAUUAGAUGCCUAAUUCUAAUAUAAUUAUAGAACUCUUGUUCGGGAAGUCCGAGUUGAGUUCGCAAUUCUGCAAAGGAUUUGAGUUUCCUUAAAGGAGCUAUUUGUGAUAAAUUAUGGAUAUUACAGUGUCUCAAUUUAGUUAAAUCAAUAUCUUGUAUAUAAACCUGUAAACAUCAAUAGGUGUAGACAGGAGGAGUUGGUUCGAAAUCCCUAAUUUAUUUCUAAAUAUGUUUAAUGCUGUUAUUAUAUCAUUUAUAUUUGAUGAUAAAAAAAAUUAUAAUAAUUUGAAUCAAUCCAAGCUAAGUUGAAUAAGGAUAUUCUAGAAUUAGAUCUUUCUUCCAUUGUCUUCCAUCCUGGAUUUGGAAAUAUCUGCUUGUCCCAUUUUAAAAAAUGAGUAAAUAUUGUAAUGUCAUGCAAUUCCAUUAUAUCUGGGAAAUUUAUUCAACAUUUUAAGACUCUUUUUUUGUGACAAUCUUUAUUAACAUUUUGUAUCAUCAUUUUCAUUUUAACACAGUAUAUCAGUAUGAUAAAAGUAUGGUAUAAUUGACAAAAGCGUUUAGGCCUCGAAUAGCAUAGUCACAUUUCCAUAACCGUGUGCUUAUCACUCAAUGUAAUACCAAACAUCUUUCCGCCUCAAUGGCGUUUGUGGUCUUUGUUUGCUGUCUCGUGUCCAGUAAAUGUGUUGCGUGCGUGGUAGUCUGUGUUUGUCUGCAGGUUUCAGUGGUAGCAUUGGUUACGUUAAUUCCUGCCUUUGCAGACAUGGUGCAUAUCCCUAACAGGGGGUUGGGUCGUCAUCACUUAAUAUCAGGUACGCAUGUACGAACCUUCCCUAUCAGUCUUUGUACCAGUGUUGUGUAUCACGGCUGCAGUAUUAUCCAGGUUGAGGGAACGAUCAACUGCGAAGAACGUAGAAAGGGGUUAAGGAGGGGGGAAGGUCGAGGAAAGGAGAGAAACACCUGGAGAGGAGAAAAGGUGAGAGGAGAGGGGGAGAAGGUAGAGAAUAAUCGAGGAGGGUUGUAUGUUUGCGGCCACCUCCCUCUGCACCCCUCAUCCAACCGCACCCCCCCCAAUAUACCGUCCGUCAUUGGAAGAUCUCUAUUGGGCUUGCCCACCCAUACAGGCCCCAGUGAUGUAUAAGAGCUAGGGGGCCAGGUUUGUACACACUACUCCGUGCGUCCCCAUAGGGCUGCUGUCAAAGACUCCAUGUUGUAUAUUUCAUCGACUUUAGCUACCCAUUGCUGGAGGGUGGGGACAUCAGUCCAUUUUCAAUGUAAUGGCAUCAGGGACUUAGCCGCAGUUAGCAGAGGGAGGGUCAGUGAUUGUUUGUAUUGUUUCAAUGACAUUGUGGUGUGGUGCAGCAGCAUGGUUAGAGGUUGGAAUGCUAGGGUGGUGUGAUUUCUUGUAUUUUAGUAUGUAUCAUCUUCCAGUAGGGGGCAAUAGCGGGGCAGGACCACCAUAUGUGGAGGCCGGACGCCCCUUUCUGUCUGCACCGCCAGCAUUCCUGUUAGUUAUCUGCGUUCAUUCGGUGCAGGACGUCUGGCGUCCGGUACCAGAAUGUUAGCAGCUUGUAGCUUAAUUCCUAGAACUUAGAGCUAAUGGAGCAUUUGUGAUGGUUAAGAUUUUAUUCCACUCCUGUUCUGAGAGGGUGACUCCCGUUUCCCUUUCCCAUCUACUUGUGUACCCGAGUGUUAUUUCUCCUCUGUUGGACAUAAGCAGUGUGUACAUGGUAGAGAUGCCCUUUGAGACUUGUUCCCUCCUGGCGCAUAGCGUCUCAAACUGUGUCAGAGUUCUGUGUAUCUGUCCUCGUCCAGUUAGGGACCCAUAGUAUUUUUUCACUUGGUGGUAUCGGAACAGCUCUAAUGGGGUCGCUGGUCUGUCAUGUAUCAACGCAGUGAUGGGUUGGAGCUGUGUGGGUGUGCACCAAUGUUGCAAAUGCAUCCAGUCUGCUUUCCGGAGUCCCACCAGGUCUCACGCGCUCAGACCCCUGCCAGAUCUGGGUUGUUCGUGAUUGGGGUAAGUGGGUUGGGUGACGUAAUCAGCUGUCGUUGGAAGCGGAGCACACACCAGAUGACCAUUGUGGCAUCUUUCAUGGGGUUAUUUGUGCGUAGAGAGCUCACUGUCGAUUUACCCAGCCAAAGCUCAGAUGGGAUCUUACCUUCAGCUUGUUGGAUCUCUAAGGACACCCAUAGCAAUAUGUAAAUAAUAAUCGAGACAGAGAUGAGGGCUUCUUAAAGGAAACACACCAUAUCAAAGUCGACAUUCAUUCCUUCGGGCUGUAUCGUUUUUAGAGUUUUUAGAGAAGCCCUCCCUCUGCCUCAAUUUAAGUGGUCUGAAAACAUGCUCCUUUUUGUGCCAUCGUGUAACCAGGGUAAAAAAAAAUGAGGAAUAUACAAUAUAUCUAAAAUAAAACCGAUAAAUAAGUAAAAUAACAAUAAAAAUAUAUGAAUUUUACAAUAAAAAAUACAAAGGUACCAAAUAUAAGAGAUAAAAAGUAUUUUUGGGUCAUAAAGGUCUUCAAGUGUUCAAUAGACGUCUAUGGUAUGACUUCAAAAUUCAGCAGCAUAUGCAAAAGAAAAUAUAGGAAACCAAUAGUGCAAUAUUGUAAGUCUAUGGACUGUAUAUAUAACACUGAGAUAAAAAUUGCCAACUCACGUCUAUAGAGCUGUAACCAGCUCUAGGUAAAACAGCAUACAGUGGUUAUUGUUUUUAAACUUAAGAAAAACAGGUCUGACCAUGUGAUAGAGCCUAUCUCUGAGGAGACGAUGUUAUUUAGAAAAUGAACCUUGAUGACAAACAGAUCAAUCCUGGAAUAUGAGUUAUGAAAAAAAAGUAAAAUCUUUGUUUCCAGGAUUAAACAUUCUCCAAAUAUCAUACAGGAAAUUUUUCAUUAAAAGAUGCUGACGGGAUUUGGCAGUUUGUUUUUCAAUUGUGGGUCCUUGGACAUAUUGGCCAUAUAACUAUAGUUUAAUGUCAUGUACACAAUUAAAAUACCCUCCUAGAAUCAGUAAACCCUGUGUUAUUUGAUCUAUUCUAUUAAUAAUUUUCCAAAGAAAUCUAAUUGGAGACUGAUUAGGAUUGUAAAUGUUUACUAAUGUGUAAAUUAUGUCGUUGAUCUUACAUAUCAAUAUAAUAUAUCUGCCAUUUUCAUCUGUCUCCUCAAAGAUAGGCCCAAAUUUGAUCUUAUUGGAAAUUAUUAUUGGCACCCCCUUUUUUAUUUAUUUUUAAAAUUGGAUUGAUAUAUCCAAGGAAAAAGCGAGAACUUCCAGAGUUUCUUUGCAGGCUCAAUCCAGUGAGUUUCCUGGACUUAUGCCACAUCAAUGUGUUUUUGGCAUAAAGUGUGAUACAUUUGGCCUUUUUUUUUAGGGAUAUUGAGACCCUGAGCAUUGACUGAAACUAAAUUAAGUGUCAUUUAUACUUCUCCUUUCCUUCGUUUACCCAUCCGAUCAUUAGUAUAUUCACGUUCCAGGACCCGGAAAGACAAUAAAAAAUAAAAAUAAACUACAUUUAACACAUUCAUUCUCCAUACAUACGUAAAGCAAAUUUUUCAGUUGACCGGAAAUAUCAUUCCUGAUCAGACCUAAUAUCACCUUAGGUCACAUUCAUGGCGUGCUGGCGUACUGGAGUAAAAAUUCUUCAGUUAACUAUAUGAUAAAUUCCAUUACAAUCGUUGAACUCUCUCCUCUCCCUGCCUUUAUUGUUCCUCCUUACAUCUCUCCCCUUCCUUGCUCCCUCUGCUGUCUAUCCAACAGUAGAACAGUAGGCAUACAUGGCUACAAAAAUGUUGAGAUACGAUACUACAAACUGCAAAGAUCUACUGAGUUCAGAGUGCUCCUUCUUUAAAUUCUGUCAUUUUUUUGGACUGUCCCCACAACCAUCAACACUAUGAGGAAUGCGCUCAGCCACUGUGGGUCCCCAAACACUGCCUGGGAUAUGGGAUACUGUACUUUUUAUAAAUAAGGAAAAGAACUCAAACCUUUAAAUGUGUUUUAAAAUGCCCAACCAAGAGUUUUAAUAUUAUAUUACCAACAUUUCAAUUAAGGUAAUUGUUGAAUAUAAAAAGGGUAUAAAUCGGAUGAUCAUAUAAUAAGAUGAAUAGCCAAAGGAGAGCUGAUAGCCCUGUGAAAAAUAUAUAGUGGCGAAACCUGUUAGCUUUCAUUAGCUGCGUCAAGCAAAUUAAAUAUUUAUUGAAGCAUCAUCAUCCUCCUUCAAUCCAUGGAGAUCCGGGGAACCCACCCAAACUAUUCCUGGUCUGAGAUGGUUUAAAAUCCCAAGAAGAAUUUAAGGGGUGGCAUUUCACUUUAUAUGACCCAAAAUAAUCUUUCAGCAACGGUUGGUAUACAUGACAGUUGUGCCAGUGUUUGGUAUAUUUAGCAUUACAAACAUUUGUGCAUUUACAGAGCACAUUAUAAUGCAUCACGCAACUGAGAGUGUAGAAGCAUCUUAAUUAGGCUAUAACCAUACAAGAUGUAACUAUUUAUGACCUGUCAGUUGCACUGCUGAGAAUGUCACAAAGUAUCAUGACUCGGCCUGGUUUCGGCUGUCUCUACUCUUGUCCAAUGUAUUUGUAACUUUGAAUUCCUAGUCAAUAAAAGGGCCAUUACAGACCUGAGGCAGGAAUGUUCAAUUGUUUUUAAGGUUUGUUGUUUUUUACUGAGGCCUUUGCAGAUGUUUUGAUUAUUUAAGCAAUGAAAAAUUAUAACUACUGUUCAUUUCCCAGAGUUUAUGGAAGGAGCAGAAUUUUCUAUUAUUUUUUUUGAAAAUUCUUUAUUUUUCACAAAAAGAAGUGCAUAUGUGUGACAAUGUAUAGGCUUACGCAGAAGCCACAGUACGUUUUCAGAUGAUUCAGGUAUACAGAAGGGAAGAGUGAUACGUUAAGACAAGUUGCAUGCUUACUAACACCCAGGGGCGUACAUAGAGCAUUUGGCACCCGGGGCGGAUCCUGUGCUUGGCACCCCCUUGCCCCCUCCCUGCCCCCCCCCCCAAAAAAAAACCUGUAAAAAAUGUUAAAGGUUUUCUUUCUUUUUUUUUACAAUUUGUAAACUUUGCAAAACUGCUGUCAGCCCCUCCUACAAAACCCUUGUCCUGCCCCGCCCCUCCUACAAAACCUCUGUCCUGCCCCUUCUACAAAUCCUGUCCUGCCCCUUCUACAAAAUCCCUGCAGCCCCACACACACAUUUACAGGCAGACAGUCACACACUCAGUUACAGGCAGACUGUCACACACUCAGUUACAUGCACACAGACACACAUGCAGUCACAGACAGUCAUAUAUACAUUGACACACAAACAUGACAGCAGCAGACAGUCACAUGCACACAGUCACAGACAGUCACACACAGUUACAGGCAGACAGUUACACACAGACAGUCUCACACACACACACACACACACACACACACACACACAGACAGACACUCUUACUUACAGACAGUGGGAUGGAGGAGGACUGGAUUCCCUGAAGUCCUUCUCUGAAGCCUGUGGAGAAGCAGAGAUUUCAUCUUGCUGCACCUCCUAACAGCUGUGGGUAAGGGCCAUAUUAAGUCCCGCCUCCAGUGCCAGUUUUGCUCCACCCCACUUUUCCUCUGUGCGGCCAGUUUAUCAGCUGUUUGCUUGUGUGAGCUAUACUGGCCGCAUGGUACCCAGUGGCGUACAUACCAGGGUCGCGGGCCCGGCCGCCCCUGCGACCCGGUAUGUAGCCAUAGGGCCAGCCUCUUCCCCUGGGGGGCCCAUGAGCUGACCACCCCAGGGCCCCCCGAGGCUGGCCCUGCUGUCACCGGGUGGCCGGUCGGGCAGGCAGGCGGGCGCGCGAGGGAGCACUCAGUGCUUCCUCUUCAGCUCCCUCGCGCACCGCACUGAUACCGGAGCCGGAAGAUGACAUCAUCUUCCGGCGCCGGCAUCCCUACGCGGCGCGCAAGGGAGCUGAAGAGGAAGCACUGAGUGCUCCCUCGCGCGCCCGCCUGCCUGCCCGACCGGCCACCCGCACAGGAGCCCAGCAGCACCACUGGACCCCAGGGAAUCCCCCCAGCACUCCAAAAGGUAAGGAGGCUGGGGGGAUUACAUUUAAAAAAAAUACAAAAAAAAACGUGUUAGUGUUUGAGUGUGUGUGAGUGUUAGAGUGAAUGGUAGUGUUAGAGUGAGUGUUAGUGUGAGUGUUAGAGUGAGUGUGAGUGUUAGAGUGAGUGUUAGUGUGUGUGUCUUACUGAGUUUGUUUGAUGUCUGUUAGUGAGUGUGUGUUUGUCAAUGAGAGUGUAUGUUUUGUAAGUGAGUGUGUAUGUAUGUCUGUCGCUGAGUAUGUCUCUGUCAGUAAAUGUGUGUGUCUGUUAGCUAGUGUGUAUGCGUGUGUUCGUGAGAGUGUGUGUGUGUGUGUGUCUAUUAGCUAGUGUGUAUGCGUCUGUUCAUGAGAGUGUGUGUGUGUGUGUCUUCAGCACUUACCUUUCUCCAGCGCCGGACUCCCUUGGCACUGGGGAUCCCUCUGCCUCUCAGCUCCGAAUGAGACCGCGCACGCAUUCAAACCGCCCAUAGGAAAGCAUUACUCAAUGCUUUCCUAUGGACGUUCAGUGUGCUCCUCUAGCGGCUGUCAGUGAGACAGCCACUAGAGGCUGGAUUAACUCUCAGUGAAACAUAGCAGUUUCUCUGAAACUGCUAUGUUUUCAGCUGCAGGGUUAAAACUAGAGGGACCUGACACCCAGACAACUUCAUUGAGCUGAUGUGAUCUGGGUGUCUGUAGUGGUCCUUGAAAGGACCACUAUAGUGCCAGGAAAACAUACUCGUUUUCCUGGCACUAUAGUACCCUGAGGGUGCCCCCACCCUGAGGGACCCCCUCCCGCCCGGCUCUGGAAAGGGGAAAAGGGGUAAAACUUACCUUUUUCCAGCGCUGUGCAGAUAGCUCUCCUCCUCCGAUCCUCCUCUUCUCCUCCCUGUCGGCUGUAUGCGCACGCGCGGCAAGAGCUGCGCGCGCAUUCAGCCGGUCACAUAGGAAAGCAUUCAUAAUGCUUUCCUAUGGACGCUGGCGUGCUCUCACUGUGAAAAUCACAGUGAGAAGCACGCAAGCGCCUCUAGUGGCUGUCAAUGAGACAGCCACUAGAGGAAAUAGGGGAAGGCUUAACCCAUUCAUAAACAUAGCAGUUUCUCUGAAACUGCUAUGUUUAUGAAAAAAUGGGUUAACCCUAGCUGGACCUGGCACCCAGACCACUUCAUUAAGCUGAAGUGGUCUGGGUGCCUAGAGUGGUCCUUUAAGUGUGUGUGCAUCUGCAUGCACUGUACAUACCCUGUGCGGGGUCGCAGCCCUGUAACCCCUGCACGACCAGGUGCCCACCGCCAUGUGUGUUGCUGACCCGGCCAGCAGCGCCCGGAGACCACUGCGGAUCAAUUUUCGCACCGGGGCCCCAUGGGUCAUGUGUACGCCACUGAUGGUACCCUAACUAUCAUGGGGCACUGUGCGGCCACAGCUUACACAGCCCCCUCCAGCCAGGGCCGGUGCAAGGAUCUUUGCUGCCAUAGGCAAAAGUAAAGUUUGCCGCCCCCCCCCAUGUGACAUCACAAUGCCCCACCCAUAUGAUCUGCCAUGUUAACUAACGCCAGUGCUGCAGUGCCGCCGUGUUUACAUUAAAAGGCCUGCAGAGACAGGCUAUAGACACCAGAACCGCUACAUUAAGCUGCAGUGGUUCUGGGGACUAUAGUGUUUCUUUAAUGUGAGGUAAAUUAGAGCUUAGUGCCACUAAUAAUAUACUAGAUUGCCUACUUACAACCAGAUGAGGAUGAUGAUGGGCUCUAGCUGCAGUCUGGCUCCACUGGUCUGGUCUGGAGGCGGUUUGUAGCUGUGGUCACAAAAAUCAAUGUUCUGGGAGAACGGGAAGCAGCUCCAUUUUUUGGGGGCCCUUUACACAGCUCAAGGUCUGGGUCCCAGGGUCCACCUUAAUGUUCCACCAAUGAGUUUGUUCACAGAGGGUGGAGUGUGUAGGGGAUGUCCUGAUAUGUGUGUAAGGAAUGCAUUGUGUGAAUCUGUGUUUGUAUGUGUAAGGGCUGCAAGGUGUGUUUCUGUGUAUGUACGGGAUGCAGUGUGUGCGUCUGUAAGGGAUGCAUUGAGUGUGUGUAAGGGGUGCAUUGAGUGUGUGUAAUGAAUGCAUUGUGCGUUUCUGUGUGUGUAAGGGAUGCAUUGUGUGUAACGGUUGCAUUGCUUGUGUAUGUGUGUCUGUGUGUGUAAUGCAUUGUGUGUUUUUCUGUGUGCAAGUGGUGCAUUGUGUGUGAUGAAUGUCAAUCUCUCCCCCCACCUUCAAUUUCCUUCUCUCCCCCCCUCCAAUUUCCUUCUCUCCCCCCUCCAAUUUAUUUCUUUCCCCCCUCGCAAUUUCUUUCUUGCCCCCUCCCAAUUUCUUUCUUUAUCCCCCCUCCCAAUUUCUUUCUUUAUCCCCCCAAUCUUUCUUUAUCCCCCUCACAAUUUCUUUCUUUAUCCCUUUUCUUUUUUCCCCCAAUCUUUCUUCUUAUCCCUCCCAAAUCUUUCUUUAUCACUAUCCCUCUUUCUCUAUCCCCCUACUUCUUUCUUUAUCUCCCCAAUUUCUUUAAAACCCCUUCUCCCAAUUCUCUUUAUCCCCCACCACUGUUGUAGCGGGUUUGUGCUCUUAUGGUCCGCGGGUAAAGGGAGCUUUUGUUUCCUGUACCCGGCCGGACUAACAGGAAGUGCACACUCAGUGUGUACUUCCUGUUAGUCCGGCCGGGUACAGGAGACAGAUGCUCCCUGUACCCGCGGACCAUACAGAGCUCGGCCACGCUACAGUGAGGGAGUGACAGGAGGGAGCCCUGAGCGCUGAGCAUUUCCCUCCUGUCAGCCCCUCUCCUCAGGCUGCGCCCGAGCAGUGCGGUGUGCACUCAUGGACGCACCAGCCCUGGCAAAGCUGCAGCCACCUGAGGCUCUCUGCAGAGGGCUCGGGCAGCUGCAGCAUAAGGGUCAUGGCACCCCCCACCCUGGUGGCACCCGGGGCGGACAGCCCCCUCCGCCUUCCCCUUAGUACGCCACUGCCUUUUUGUAUAUAAAAAUCACAGAUUUUUUUGUGGAUGGUCCUACUAAUGCAGAGAAUUGCCACCAGUGACAAUCUGGUUAUGAGCUUUGUUUAAUCUCAUCCAGUAGUCACUUGUCUCAUCUCCUGGGGCAUCAUGCAUGCUCGUCAUAUUCUGACAGCUUGGCAAGCACCAUAUACACUAUAGUCUCCUGGGAACUAUCCCAAUGUGCAAGCCCAGACCUGGAGGACAGUGAAAUUGCAGGCCACCAGUUCAUACAGCAACCUUCACAAUGGUGAGCUAGCAAAAGCUCUGCACAAAAUCCUUCCUGCCAUCUCACUCCUGUAGUAUCCAGUCUACAAAAAUGCCAAAGUGCUGUCUAUUUUUUUAUUCAGCAGAAGAAAAAUGUGAAGUCACAUCCCCUAGUCACCCUUGUCAGCCUCCAAUGCCGAGAACAUUAGAAUAAGUUGAAAAUGCUAUAGUGAAAAACAACAAAAGAAAAACCCACAGCUCAGACCUACAAUAUUGAUCUCCUUCAUCACUGCACAGUCAGGAAAGAGCUAACAUUUUUAUAACAUUACUGUGGUUCUUUGUGGACACUGGACAGGGGAACUCUGUGUAAAUCACUGUCUGUUUCAUAGAUGGUUAGGUCAGUGGUGUAUCCUGGUUUUGUGCUGCCCUAGGCAUACACACACUCACAGUAACAGACACACACUCACACUAACAUUUCCACACAAUAACAGACACACAUACACACUAACAGACACACACUCACACUAACAGACACACACACACACACACACUAACAGGCACACACACACACACAGAAACACACUAACAUACACACACACACACUAACAGACACACACGCUAAAAGACACACACACACUAACAGACAUACACACUAACAGACAGACACACACACACUAACAUACACACACACACAGACACACACUAACAGACACACACACACACACACACUAACAGACACACACACACUAACACAUACAGACACACACUCACACUAACAGACAGAUUUACACACUAACAGACACACACAUACACACUAACAGACACACACUCACACUAACAGACACACACAGACACACACACACACUAACAGGCACACAGAGACACACAGACACUACACACACACACAGACACACACUAACAUACACACACACACACACACACACACAGACACACACUAACAGACACACACACACUAACAGACAGACACACUAACAGAGAGACACAGACACACACACUAACAUACACACACACAGACACAGGCACACACUAACAGACACACACACACUAACGGACACACACACACUAACAGACACACACACACACUGACACACACACACAGACACACACACUAACAGACACACACACACUAACAGACAGACCCACUAACACACACUAACAUACACACACUUUUUCUUUUAAAAAUUCACCCCCCCCCCAGCCUCCUUACCUUUGGGAAUGCUGGGGUGGGUUCUCCUUUUCCCUGGGGGUCCAGUGGCUGCUGGGCGGGCGGCGUUGGCGUCAUAUUCCAGCUCCCAGUCUCACUCUGCGGGCGGCGCACAGAGUGAGGCUGGGAGCCGGAAUAUGACGUCAUAUUCCGGCUCCUAGCCUCACUCUGUGGCGUGCGAGGGAGCUCAGCAGGACGCUCAGGGAAAGUGCUCCCUUUCCAGCGCUGCCCAACCGAUCAGCAGCCAGCCUGGAUUGUCAGUUAGCCGCAAUGCUAACAGGACAUUUGCCCUGGGCAUUUGGGGGCGGCUUUUUUUGCUGCCCCCCUGGAAAGUGCCGUACAAGGCAAAUGCCUUGUUUGCCUCACGGCUAAUACGUCCGUGGGUUAGGUUCAAUUCAAAUACAGCCAAGAACCAGGUAAACAGUAACUACAGUUACGCAAUCUUACAAACUACAGAAACACAAGAAACAAACAGCAAGACUAGGCAGGGCUGUGUAUCAGUCAAAAAGAAGAUAUGUGAAUUAGAAGAGUGGAAAUAUUAAUGUAGGCACCAACAUGUCAGGUCAAUAACAAUGUUAGUAGGAAAAUUAUUACUGUUACUAAGAACUCUGGAAGGUACAAAUGUGACAUGGGUCAGCAGGCUGGAUAGUACCACAGUAUUUCAGCCAAAGCUCCCAGUCAUACACACGCAGAUCAACAAGGAAAAUAAUCAACUGUUUCAUCAAGCUUACAAUUUUAUCGACAUGUUGGAAAACUGUCAAGAGCAGUAGAGCGAGAAAAACUCUCCAAAACAUUCCUCUAGGAAGGUGCAGUAGCUAUGGGCAGUCCACACAAUGUUGUCCUGGGAGACAAAUUUGUCAUUCAUUAACCCGUUCACUACCAAGCAGUUUGCAGAGAACUCACCCUGGAAAUCCAAGUAUUAUGGGUGUCCUGGAAAGAAAAUGUUUAAAUGUAUUCUUCUUUUCAGUACGCCUAGAUAGCACAUUCGUUAAUAGAAACAAAAGGAAAAAAUGUGUGUGGAGAACUUUUAGAAAAUCAUUUACCACUUAAUCAGUUUACAAAUAAGAAAACAGAGUUGUAAAUAAAUACAAUUUCUCAAUCUUAAUUCCAUAUAAUCCCCUCAACCAUACAUUGUACAAUAUAAACUCAGUUCUCAGUUCUAUGUGUGCACCGAGGCCUACAAUAACGUUUCAGCAGGUCAGUCAUGGUCUGCCGAAACCGACGAACAGAGUAGGCGUGAAAAUAAAUAAAAGAGAAAUCAAGGAGGAGGGUAGACAGAGGCUGGUAAAAAAAAAAAAAAUCUAUUUUCGGGGUCAAAGGCUGAGGCAUACAAUAGCCACCGCCAUGUGCAGCUAGGCUAUAAUGACUUUUAAAGCCUAGCUGUACAAGACGGUUUUGAGUAGGGAAAGCUCCAUGUUCAUUCAAUAACAACAACCACAAUGUGCAUCUAGGAUUUACAAGUAUUUUUAUUUUUUUGCUUCUAUGUGCUUUCCCUAACCCCUACCACCCCAUGUGCAGCAAUGCUUUAAUUAGUUUUUCCUCCAUGUGUUUUUGCAACACUCCCCCUCACUACCAUGGGUGGGUAGGUUUUAAUUAUAAUUUUAAAGCCGAGCUGCACAUGGUGGUGGUAAUGGGUAAGGAAAGUGCAUGGAAGAAAAUUAAUAAUUUGUUUCUCCCAUGUGCAUUCACUAGCCACCAUCACCAUGUGCAUCUAUGUUUUACAAGUAAUUUUUCAUUGGUGGAAAUAAGUGUGCAUGGGGGAGGAAGUGAUGUGACAGCAUGAGUGUGGGGGAAUCAUAUUGUAUAUAGGGAGGCUAUAUUUCUCUCUUCAGCCUCCCUACACAGUGCUCAUUUUAUUAUAAUUAUUUUUAGCUGAGGCCCCCUCCUGCUUACCUUUUUGCAGUGAGUGGGGCUCUGAUCCCUAUUCCCUUGUGGUCUUGUGGAUCCUUCUUCCUGGGUGAGCCAAUGGAUCCAGUAUCCUGGGUUCGCCUGGCAGGCUGCCCCUCAGAAUGCCCCCUUCCGGUGUCUCAGCCAGAGGGCAUCCUGCACAGUGAGCAGCGCAGCACCAUACAGAGAGAUCUCUAGAUCUCUGUACCAGCCUGUGCAGAAUGGGGGGCUUUGUGGGAGCUCAGGAGAGGUAGCCCUAGAAAGGUAGUGCCAGCUCUGCUAUUGGCACAAUCAUUGCAAAUUAAAAAAAAUGUAAAUUAACAAAUUUAAUUUGCAAUGAAUUUAAUUCUGUAUACACAAAUGCAGGGUAUGGGGUGCAGACCUUGGUGAUCGUGUAUACUCGAGUGGCAACGUGAAGGGGUUAAGAGGAAGAUAACUAUUCCAUGACAUACACACAUAUAUUCCCUCAAUACAAGGUUGAGAGUCAUGUAUUUUUUACUACACUUUGAGGAUACAGCCCUGGCGUCUCUGGCACUGAAGGUGUACCAGUUCAGGAACACUACAGUCCGUGGGUUUUUAUGACCUAACCUGUACCACUAACUGCUCUACUAAAUGCUACGACUCAGUUUUGGAAGCAUAUCCACAGACAAUGCAGAAUAUACUUCACUGGUAUCUGGUUACUAUAAAAUAUUCUAUCUAGAUAGUCCUCUGGCAAUACUCUAUGAGUAACUACUCUGUAGAUGACAAUAAAUAGCAAUAUACCUGUGAGGCCUCAAGGAAGAGACAAACAGGCUUCUUAUUGGUAACUCAAAGAACUCAGACAGUUUAUUGUAGAAAGAACCAGCAUAUACAGUAUAGAGCACCGCAUACAGUAAAACAUUGUACAUCAAUUUAAACCAAUGGGAAUAAAUAGUAUACAGAGGAAAGAACUGGUUACACAGUGAUUCAUUUCACUAGUUCUUUCCCAUUUUGUGCAAGUCCACCAUGACAACAAAAGGUUAUCUUGAUCAGCCAUGUAGAUAUCUGGACACACUGUAAUUCAGAGCAAUCUCUGAUUACAUUAACACAGUCUUUUGCUGUAGUUAAUUGGUAGGAAACCCUUUAAUAGUACUGUGCCAAAACAACAUCUGGUGGGCCGGUUCAAUCAGUUUUUUUUUUUAAAUUAAGGAGUGUAUGUUGCUUUUGUUAUUUAUAGGUUCUCCAGUUGUUUUGUAACAGUGCAUUUGUGCGUAUAUGGGCUGUUAUAUUGGAUAUGUUCCUGAGUAGUUUGUGGUAUUGUGUAUGACACCUAUUAAUGUGUGCUGUUUAUGGGGGCUGCUUGUGGAAUUGUGUGUGGAUGAUAUGUCACAUUGUGUGUUUAGUGGUGUCUGUAUGUGUGGGGCUGCUUGUGGCAUUGCAUGUGAGAGGUUGCUUGUGGGGUUGUCUGCGUGUAUGUGGAUUGUCAGUGGUGUUUGUGAGGACUGUGUGUAUUUGUGUGUGUCCUAUUUAUAUUAUUUGUGUGAGCGGGAGUAUUCUCCUGCAGCUUUGUAUUCUUCUGCAGCUUUUAUAUCUAAGAGUGUGGGUGGCUUCCCUGAGGCCCAGUGUGGACUUAGCUAGCCAGGUUUAGGUCAAGGGAGGGGAACUGUGAUAGCUGCUGUGGGUUCCUCUACUCCAGUGUGGAUUCCCAUUUACAAGUGUGAGGAGAAAGUGAUCUGAGACCACUUCCUCUAAGUGGUGUAAUGCGUAAAUCCAUUCUCCUGACAAAAAAUGAGGUGCUUCUGAAACGGUACUGCGUACUUGCGGCUUGCAGAAAACAAACCAGAGGGAUCAGGCCAUCCAUCAAAUACACGGUUAAAAAAAAGUAACCUUAUUGAAUUUAGUUCCACAGAAGGUGUAAUUCCAAAGAUUGCUUCCUGCCAUUUCAAUCACAGGAUCUCCCCUGCCGGCCCAUGCAGGGUAGCACAGCCAUAAGAGGGCUGAAGGAAAGAUUUGUGCAUUUGUGCGUGCCUGGCAUCCUGCCUGUCUCCCUCUCGCAAGCUCCCAUAAUAUCAGAACCUUGCCAUGGUAACCCAGGGCAACGCUCGGUAAUACCGACGCUAACGAGAUGGAGAAGCAUGGUCUGACGGUACAGACCAAGUAACCGGACCACCGUCCUCAGCAUGCCUCCCUGUACCCCGGCAAGGUAAUAUAUUUUAAUGAUUCAAUUAAUCAAGCAGCCAUCUUAUCCCCUAUUAACCCAGUACACCCCCUGCCAUCAUGCCCCCUAUCAACCCAUCAAGCCACUACACCCCCUGCCACUUUGCCCCCUAUUAACCCACUACACCCACUGCCACCCCCUAUUAACCCACUACACCCCCUGCCAUCUUUCCCCCAAUCAACCCACUACAUCCCCUGCUAUUUUGCCCCCUACUAACCCACUACAUCCCAUGCCAUUAUUCCCCCACUGCAUCCACUGCCAUCUUGCUCCCUAUUAACCAGCUACACCCCCUGCCAUCUUAACAACUAUUAGCCCUCUACAUCUCUUACCCAUAACGCCAUAUUAACCCACUACAACUCCUCCCCAUAACCCCUGCACCCCCUGCCAUCUUGCCCCCUAUUAACGCACUACACCACCUGCCAUCUAUUAACCCACUACACCCCCUGCCAUCAUUCUCCUAUUAACCCACUACACCCCCUGCCAUCUUAACACCUAUUAACCCUCUACAUCUCCUACCCAUAACCCCAUAUUAACCCACUACACCUCCUCCCCAUAACCCCCUAUGCCCCUGCCAUCUUGCCCCUUAUUAACGCACUACACCCCCUGCCAUCAUACCCCUAAUUGACACACUGCACUCCAUGCACUUACAUACAACACACUCUCUAUACCCCUUAUAUACACCCCCUGGACUCAGACACACACACUCUCUAUAACCCUUAUACAACACCACUCAUCCUUCACUCACAUUCACACAGUACACAAACUCUAUACACCCUAAACAUACACUACACUCUCUGCACUCAUACACUCUAUACUCCCUAUAAACACACACUACACACCCUGCACUCACCCACUUCCUACUCUAUAUUCCUUAUACACACCACACCCCCAUGCAUUCACACACACACACACUCUAUACACACACUACUCUAUAUACGCAUACACACACAAUUAACACACCCCUUUUUGGCCCCGCCCCUCGCAAUAGGCUGCUCUGCCAUUAACUACCUGGGCUCAAUUUUUGUCCCAGUCUGGCCCUGCACAGAACCAUAAGCACAUAAACACACACCGCACCUCCCACGUGUCACUAUUUUGAGCCCAAAUCCUUCUGUCCCUUUUUUAUCCUAAUGUCCCUUUUUGGUAGGAGCACAUUGUUGUGUCUGAUUGUAUAAGAGAGCUCCACAGCAGACUACAAUAAAUGUGUUUAGAAAUCAGUCUGUGUAAAUAAGAUACACUGUUCUUGUUCUAAAUAAAUUAUAUUAUAGUUACAAAAAUCGUUAUUAAUAAGUUACUAAGAAUUUCUCAGAACAGCUCUGGCCACAUCCACAAUCGCACCCUUAAAAUAAUACUGUCCCUCUUUGUACAUUCAAAAUUUUGAGAGGCAUGCAAUAACACUUGGUUAUUUGUUAGUAUAACACCAGGACAUACAUGUCCAGACUUGCCCAGGACUACUGAUAGUGAUAUGACUUGGCAGCCAGUGGAGAGAUGCUACAAAGAGAGAGACACAGCUUCAUUCAUUCUUUGCCCCUCAUACAAUACAUGAAAAACAGAAGGGGAACAACACCAAUCGUGGCAUCCAAAAAUAGCAUCUGCCCCUGCCAUUCAUCCUUUCCCUAGAACCACUUGCUGCCAAAAUUAGAGCCCAUCCAGAUAUACAUGGCAUAGAAGUGGAUGAUACCCGAUAUUGUCUAUCGAUGUUUGAAGAUUACAUUCUUCUCUCUUUAGACAAGCCAACAGUAUCAGUACCAGCGGUACUACAUCUGUUCCAAGAAUAUGGCUCACUUUCCUACUACAAAUUAAAUCAGUCAAAGAUCCAAGCUCUGUCGAUUGGUCUGAAUGCUACAGUCAUUAGCCAUCUCACCCAUUCAUACGAAUUUGAUUGGAGAAAGUCUAGCAUAAUGUAGUUAAGCGUCAAAUUAGUCCUCUCACUUGAAACCAUAUAUAACUUGAAUUACAAAACAGGAUUUCGAGGAUUUCAAGGAUUUCUCGAAAAAGAGGUCGGUCAGGCUUUCCUGGCUGGGCAGGGUUAACACCACCAAAAUGGUAAUAUUGCCUAAAAUCUUGUCCGAAUGUUGCCUAUCUGCAUGCCUCCUUCCUUGUGCAGACAAUUGCAGAACAUUAUCAACAAAUUUAUCUCGGACUGCCAUAAAUCUCGGAUCCCGAUGUCCCUCCUUCAGAAAUACCCCACCUUCAAAACUACUACAAAGCGUCAAUUCUGGAGGCAGCAGUCAAGAUGCACAACCCCAAAAAUACUCUUCAAUGGGUAGACAUGGAGAGAAGAAGGGCAGCGGAGGGAGCGCUGGGGGACCUGUCAUGGACCCCACUAACAGCUCUUCCCCUGUACAUUACUGUCUUUGCAUUAUAAUCAUAAUAGAGAUGUGGAACUGCACUCAAACCCAUGGAAUAUGUAUCCGGGUGCAACCAGGCCAGUCCCAGUACCAGGGAUCAAAUAAUUGAUAAAGAAACAUAGAAAAAAGGUCCAGGCACUCCAGGAUACAAAACGGCAAAUUUAUUGAACCCACUGCCACUCAGAACAUUUCGACCUACAUGAUCUUUGUCAAGCUGUCUUUGCAUUAUAGGGAUCAACUCCGCAAAAAGCAAGGAGAUUACCACAACUGUCACAUGCGACCUCCAGUGACGGCGCUUAAAGUUCUUUCACCCUGGUUACCUCUGCAGUCUUGGUGCCAACUAGGGGUGAAAUGCAUUGGGAAACUGUGCAAGGGUGGAGCCAUUAGGGCUUUCCCAGAACUCCAGGAAGCUUACAAACUACCGAACUCAUUUAUCUUUCACUACUUACAAAUGAAAAGCAUCAUCUCUGCACAUGUGCAGCCUGGAGCAAUCACCCCUAUGGGACACAGUGAGGGACCUGAUCACUGAUGAGCUGGUGACCAUGAUAACCCGCUUGCUCCUUCUCUUUCCACACCGUUUACACAAAAAUCUCAAACAGCUGACAGCACUCAUUAUGCUAGCUGCCAGAAACUUUAGAUAGCGGUCAACUGGAAAACACCAACAUGCCCUUCAAACCUUUAACUCCUACAAAAAAAUACAGCUUUAUUAUGUAUAUGGACGAAUGUCGCUAAACUACCCUGUGCAAUUUAAACCUUUUUAUACGCCGCAAUGAGGGGGCGUCCCCUCGCAGGGUUACAGGGAACCAGUAAUGAGGGUUUGGUGAGAUUCAAACACAUAGGAGCAUAAACAAGGGACAUAACUGCAUACUCAGGCAAAAAAAAAAAAAACCCUCUUAAUAAAUUGACCACAGACUAACUUUAGUGGAUGGACAUACAUAAAAUUGUGGUUGAGUCUAGUUCUUCCCCUCCCGAUUUCUUUACUGUACCUCCUUCCCUUUUCUCUUUUACUUGUUCCUCAUUGCAGGAUGCAUGCUUUGGUCACUUCAUACAAAAUUACAGUAUAUCUCAGUUUGGUAAUACGUGUCCCUCCUUCCAAUAUAGUGAUUGUUUGUGUAUUCCUCAGUAACUGCUCAAAUUAUAAAAUUGUCCGCUAUCACUCAUUGUACCUUUACGCACAAGGUUCUUACACUUAUCGAUUGUAUUAAAGUAUGCAUACCUGUGAUACUGUUCAUUCUAUUUGAAAAUCAAUAAAAACUUUAUGACAAAAAAAUAGCGUCUGCUGACCAGGGCUGACCAAGACUCAUAUGUUCUAGUCAGCUGAAGAUUAGUGCCCCUGCCACCAUUUUAUGGACAGCAGCUGAAUUAAUAGUAAUUCCCACUAUUAUCAGCCAGCACCGGGGUAUUGUGGAAAAUGGAUGGUAGAUUAUUAAUAUGAGAGACGAAUAAAAGAGCUUAGCAAAAACAUUAGACAUGUGCAAUUCAUUUCGGUCCGAAUAUGAAUUCGGACGAAUUUCGGGCAAUUCAGACAUUCGGGUACCUCCGAAUGUCCGAAUUGCAGAAUUGCCGAGGUCCCGAAGUUCCAAAAUUACCGAAUUUCCGAAGUGCCGAAUUUCCAAAGUGCCGAAGUUCCGAAGUUGCCGAAGUUCCGAAGUGUGAAAGUGCCGAAGUUCCGAAGCACAGUAUUGCCUAAGUACUAAUAUACUUACCCAGUGGAAGAAGAAGAAUGUUACACUGUAUACAAUUUUAAAUAAAAAGUAUACAAACAUAGCCAGGAUUCAGCUGUAAGCAUUUGCAACACUUACAACAAUCAAGUAACAUACAUUCAUAUAAAAUGUAAAUGUACUUAGCCAGUCAGUGUAAUGACAGGAAUGAAUAAAUAGAUAACUCUCUAAUUCCCACGGUAUUAGGGAGCUAUCUACUAAAAGGCUGAAAGACCUGAAUUGGUCUUGCAGCCACAUUUACUAAUACUAAGUAAAGAUUACUUAGUAUUAGUAAAUUAUGCCCCUACUCGCUAUACCGCGAGUAGGGGCACGUCUAUUAAACAGUGAGCAGCCUGUGGCCCCACCCCUAAGCAGUGGGUGGGGGCCCUAAAUACUAAUAGGGGGGACCUAACGUCCUCCCUCCUGGCCCCCACCCCUGAGCGGUGGAUGGGGGCCCUAAAUACUAAUAAGGGGGGGACCUAAUGUCCUCCCCCUGGCCCCCACCCCUGAGCGGCGGGGGAGGGAGCCCUAAAUUGGAAUAAGGGGGGGUGACCUAAUGUCCUCCCCCCUGGCCCCCACCCCUGAGUGGUGGGUGGGGGCCCUAAAUACUAAUAAGGGGGGAGCCUAAUGUCCUCUCCCCUGGCCCCCACCCCUGAGCGGCGGGUGGGGGCCCUAAAUACCAAUAGUGGGGGGGGACCUAUUGUCCUCCCCCCAGGCCCUCACCCCUGAGCGGCGGGUGGGGGCCCUAAAAAUUUUUUUUACCCCCCCCCCAGGUGACUAGAGGUCCCCACUAUAGGGACAGGAAUACAUGUUUGUGUUCCUGACCCUAUAGUUAUCCUUUAAAUUGUGCUGACAAGUAUGGUCUUGUGACUGGAUUCAUCUGUGGAUAUGAAACCAAACUUACUCAGAUAAGACCAGGUCAAACUCCCUGUUCUUUCCUCAUCUCCGUUUUCAGGGGAUUAAAAAGGGAUUGAAUAGGUAACCUAGUUAGAUCAGGUUGGAGUUUUUCGCAACCCUUGGUAAGCCACACUAACAAUUCCACCAUUGUUUUUAACCCUGACAGCAAAUGGCACUUAAUACAAACUUUUGGACUCAUUCCAUCACCAAAUCCUGUAACCCUUCCAUUCCCGAUAAGUAACGCAACACCAUGUUAAGUGGGUAAGGGCAACGGCACCGGCUUUAUUUAAACCAGCACAACCAAAUAUUGUCAGCUGCUGGUUUUACCCAGCAGACAGGUACACUUUAAACUUCCAGAACUUCUUCAGCCUGUCCUUCGUCAUCAACCAAAUUCAAGCUGCGACUCCCCAGGCCUGUCCGAGCAUUAUUCAUUUACCAGGCUUGCUGGCGCAGGAAAGCCCCAGCUGUGACAAAAUUAAAAACAGAGAAAACACAACACAAAACAACAAUUCCAGAAUAGAACCAUUGGGGAGGGAGGGUGGGUGGGAAAAGACACUGCCAGGCUCUCUCAGCAUUGUUCACCAGUAGUCUGGUAAUUUUUCCCAGAAUUCCAUGCUUUCAACUGUAAAACCAACUGUAUCCUUUUGGUUGCUAUGCCAACCCCUCAGGGCAGCAGUCAUGCUCCCCCCCUCCCUAUUCGCUCAAAGGGUUGGCCUUUCUACAGCUGGAUGGGAGUCCGGGGUGGGGAUAUUCUAAGUACACUUAAAUGGAUACUGUAUUUUUUUAUUACUGGUAUUUAAAAGGCGCCAACAGAUUCCGCAGCGCUGUACAAUUAAUGGGGGACUUACAAUAUACACAGACAAAUUCAAAAGGUAGAGAGGACCCUGCCCAUAAGCUGAUUUUGAGCCAAAUAAGCUCUUUUAUACAAAGUGCUUAGCUAGAUAGCCUGUGAGCUUACUGUAGGCACUAUAACAAUUUCAUCUCUAUAACCAUUUCAGCUGAUUUAAUUUGUUAUGGUGCCUGGCCACCCACACCACAGCCCACCUUUGGAGGUAUGACUAAGGCAGAGAUUACACACUUUCUGAUAGUCAUACCAGUUUAUACCAGUACUGGGCGCUGUCAUAGGCUGACAGUCUCAGCCAAUCACUGGUACCAAUUUAUGUUCACUAGCCCAAGCAGCACAGAGAGGAUAGGCUGCUGGGCACUCUCUUGUAGCAUUAAAACUUUAACGUUGAAUGAAAGAAUGUCAACAGGGGACUGCAGACACUAUAACCACUUCAAUUAAAUGUAGCAACUACAGUGGCUGCAGUAUUCCUUUAAGGGACUGAUCCUUUGAAGGUGACGUUGAAGCUGGCAAUCUCCUGCUCUACACAGAUAAUUGGUAUAAUCUGACUUAUAAGCAUAAUGUCCCCAAAUAGAGGUUGUUUUUACAUUCUGGUGGCAUUUUUAGGAAGCUGGAUUUCAAAAAAUACCAUCACAUUUCUUACAAAUAUCCACAAGCAGGGUUUUAAACCGUUUUCAUUAGGAUACUUUUGGCUUGCCUACCAUAUGUGACAAAAAUUAUAUUUCUGCGUCUAUCCAAAUAUUUAAAUUCGUGUUUGAAAUAUUAGAAAGUGAGGCAUACCACAGACUCUAAAAAAAAAAUUCCCCUCCAUUUUACUGUACAGAAUUAACAAAUAAAAAAAAAAAUGCAUUUACAUUUCAUUUUUUAAGGUAUAAAUUAACAGCACUCUACCCACAAAAUUACUGUUUUUCUUAUGUGUAAGUGAUGGGUCCGUAACUCAAAUAAAUGGUAUGAUAUAUAUAUAUUUAUUUAUUUAUUUAUUUAUUUUUUAAAGAAAAAAAAAUUAUACCGGAGGGGUAAACCAUUGGUAGAAUUUUACAAAAUUGUUGCUAACAAGAUCUUAUUGUCAUGUAGUUUGAUUUAUUUUAACAGCUGUUUAAUUAACUAAAAUAACAGUCCUUAUUUUUACCUACUCUCGAUGCUUGUUUGGUUUCCAUUAUUGUCUCUGAUGGGGGAGCAGAAAGUCUUGCAAGGUUGGCGUAUUUUGUAUUUGUUAAAAGCAUAUCUACUUUAAUUAGUAUUAUCAUGAUUUUCCAAUUAAAAUGUUGGUAAAUGUUACCAAAGGUUAAUUUUGGCUAAUUUAGCUAAUAAUUAUAUAAUAUUCACUCACAAUUAAAAGUAUAGCCUAGCUGGCAAAAUUCCAUACAAAAAUAGCACAAUCGACUUCAAACAAAUAUUAAAACCUAUAUAUUUAUUUUAAUGUAAAUGUUUGAUGGGUAAUUCAUUUUUAUCCCUGUGCCGAAGAAGAAUAAAUUGGACAGGGUUUACUAUUGCAUUGGCACUGUUUCAAGAUCAAGCUCUUGGUUAUGACCAGGUCAUGAAAUGAAAAGUGAAGCUCAAAUAUAAUAGUUAACACAAAUCCUAACUCUAACUUUAACACUAGUCUUUAUAUUAAAUGUUUACACUGGUUUGUUUGCAGCAUUUUUUGCUAAUUUUUUUGAUUAGCUAUCGUAGAGGGUCAGGUGGAAAGGUGAAGCUCUCAUAUCCACUUUGUGCUAGGGCACAAAGCAGUGGAGAAGAGCUGCCCUAAUGACAGCCAGGAGGGUGCAACCCAGAGGCUCUAAAAAAAUAUUGAUUCUUUUUUUAUUUUAUAUAUAUAUAUUUUAUAAAUUGAGAAAGAGGGGACAAGAGGUACUUUAGGGGUGGACUCUUUAAUAAUGGAUCCUUAAUAAAAAUAAAAACUAACCAUAUAUAUUGUUUAUCCAUCUAGGCGUAUACUUGACUUCUCAGCAUAGUGACAUUAUGACAUUGUGCAGGACCACUGCUUAGCAGUAAGAUGGAGAUUAGUUAAAUCCAUACCCACACAGUGAGCUGUGUCACAAUACCAGUGCCUAGCGGCACUGUACUACCACGUAAGUGAUGUCUCUUUUGUUCUCUGAUACACAACCACUCAUCCUUAACUUCCUGGUGCCUCAUUAUGACAUCAUAUAUAAAAUGAAAACCUCCCAUUGGUCUCUUUUUAUUAUGUUAGAGUUUGUUGCCUUUGUUAAUGAUGUGUACACACUUGUGACAUCAUGGCUCUCUGUAACCAAUCACAACCCAGUACAGGGUAUAUAUACUUCCUGGUUGUCCUUGUUUCCUUGCCAUGUCAGGGUUUCUGUUUACCCGAGAGUGCGUUAAAUAUGACUUAUUAUUCCAUUUUCUGACUUUGGCUUUUGACCAUUUUUGAUACCAGUAAGCCUGACCUUGGCUUGAGUCUUGUUUCUGUGUACCUCUGUAAUCCCUGACAAUGGCUUGUUAACAUUUAUUCUGUGUUUGCUUGCAGACUUUCUGAUUAUAAUCACAGUGCUAGUUGGGUCUCUCUAAGUACCAGAAUGCUUACCUUCCUUGCAUAUAACUAGGUUUGUGUGUUAGGGUCAGGCUAAUACUGACAGGGUGAUUCUGAGUUAGAUUACUAACAUCUAGCUGUGAGACAGACCCCUAGACAAAGAACUGGAGCGUCUUGUCAUGCCACCUUUAUAAUAUGAUAGUCAUUUAGCACUGAGACAAAAUGCAACUCAAUACAUUAAAUUAACCAUUUUAUUUACACAUCCAUAUAAAAUUUAGGUUAAUGUUCCCAAGUUAUAGAAAUAUUUUUUUUUUCCAACUCUCCUCUUGACCUAAAUUUUGCAUAUAGGUAAUUUCAGGAAAUAAAACAUAGUAUACAUUUUGUGUUUUCGUUCAUCCUGGAGUUACAAUAUUACAAGAUUUUCCACCAGGGGACACUAUACAUCUCCUUUAUGACAGAAGAAGGUGUUCCGUGUGUGUGUAGAAGGUGGGGGUAGGAGUAUCGUUUAACCUCUGUGAGCAAUGACUCAUCCGGAAGCUUCUCUGCUUUUCCCAAUUUGAGAAUGACAUACUCCUUCCAUUCCCGGGUGAAUCAAUAGUGAUGCAAUUAACCCUUCCCCCAUUGCGUUUGUCUGUCUCACUGCUCAGUAUAUAAUCUUGUAUAUAUAGUCACGCAAUGCGGAGCCUAGAAUUCUGCUGUAAAAAAUGUUGCAAGAUGUAAUUACUAUGGUACAGCUGGAAACAUGAAUUUAUUAUUCCCAAACAUUCUUGUAUACCGUGUAGUCAAUAAUUGGAAGAUAGUCAAUAAUUGAAAAGAGGUGUCAUAAUUUUUUAUCUCAAUGGGUUAAGUCUGAGCAGAUUUCAUGCUCUGUCUUAAAUAUUACACAAGGUUUGCAGAACUCUAGUGGUUUUGAUGCAGAGAUACUAUCCCUUUUCCCGUACAUUGCAAAAUAUUGCAGUUCCUGAGAAACAACAAUGUUUACAUUUAGCUGAGAACAGACCUCUUGUGGCUGUCAGACAGUCGUCACGAGAAUUGCUUUCCCCUUACAUCCUUUAAAUUGUGAACUAAUUCAUAUUUGGUAUCUUAAUGUAUGAUGACGCUGAAAGCGGCUAAUGCUUCCUGUACUCAAGUAUUGGUUUGAAAAAUACAACAUGAAUAUGAGGUCAAAACAAAACAUCAAAUGGACUUUAACAGUUACUACAAGCACAAUGACUACUGCAGUGUUUUUCUAAAGUGGUCAUGGUAUUUUGAGUCUGGUUGUACACAGUAAGAAGUGUGAAAGCAAGCGUUCCAGGCUACUAAUGUGAAUUUUGUGAAUAGAAUGUGUUAAUUGUCAGCAUGCAAAUUAAUGGAUGUCCAAUGGCUUUACCCCCCUACUUAUUGCCCUUAGUCCUAUCUCACCCCUGCCUCCUUGACAUCCAGCAUGCUUUCGUGAGAGGUUAUGAUGCCACAGAAGGAAGACCAGGCCACAUUGAGAACUUGGAUACCCCAUGGGAUCGCAGGUGAAUUCACUCUCUCUCCUCUCUCUCUUUAUCCUGUAUCUGGGUGCCUCCAUCUUAGCUCCCUGUCAAUCAUUAUUACAAGCUCUGUCCUUUGCAUCUGGCAGUCAGCAAAGAUAAAACAUAAAAAAGAGAAUACAAGGGAAUAUUUUGCUCUUUUUUUUCUUCAUUUGCAAAUUUUGCCCUGCAGCUGUCUUGUCCGAACUGGAUUAUAAUAUAAUUUUCUGAAUCUGUAUUAUAAAUGUCAAAGAAAAUGGAGCAUCCCAUGAAAGACAAUGUGAUCACAAGCUAAUGGCUAUUUUCAAUGUUUUAUGCAAGAGUGUAAGUUUCAGAGAAGUGGAAGUUCCUGUUUAACACUUUAGGACCUUUCAAAGAGUGGAUACAACUGAAUAUUAUUCUUAAAAGAGGGAGAUUGUAAAUGUGUGCAUAUGUGUAAGCGUGUUAAUAUACGUGAUCACUAAUGGCGAGAUUUAGGUCAAGCCAUGUUUAUAGUGAAGAUAUCACACAAGUCGUAUGACAUUGAUACAUAAUUUAGAAGACAGUGAACGCUUGCUUUCUGUCUUGCGUGACUUAACAAACGAUUCUUGAGCACACAGGAAUAUAUACUGCAUGUGUGUGCGAGGGAGAGAGAGUUGUGUCAUAUUGGAAAUGAAUUCCUUUGACAAGUUCUGCAUCAUAAACUCUGGGAACAAAGCUCUGAGUGGUUUUGGAUGAGUCCAGAGCCCCAGAAUCCCAAGAUGAAAGGAAUCUCUCAUGCAAACCCACAUUCCCACACACACUAUCACCCAGUGUUACAUGCACACAUUAAAACUUCAGAAAAUCAACACAAAUCGACAUACACUCAGUGUUAUUCACUAACUUGUACCAAAAUGUAGCAGAUUAAGUCCUUGAUUUAAACGUUUUCCUAAAUGAUUCAGUACUGUUAGAGAAACUUUCCAAAUGACUUAUCUACAGAAAUCCCCAUGGAAUUUAAUGGUGACUUCUGGAGAUAAAUUAUUUAGAAUGUUUUUUUUCUAACAAUACUGAGUCAUUUGGGAAGCUUAUUCAAAAUUGUAUUAUCUAAAUGUGACCUGCAAAACUGUGACUGAUUUGGAAAACAAGGAAAAAGACAAUGAGUUGGAAAAAUGACUUGGCUAUUAGCCUCAGUUUUGUGAUUCUGAUUUUAGGGACUAAAUUUAAUAAGCUUUCCAAAUUGUUAAUUACUGUUAGCAAAAACUUUACAAAUGAUUUAUCUACAGACGUCCCCAUUAAAGGACCACUAUAGGCACCCAGACCACUUCAGCGUAAUGAAGUGGUCUGGGUGCAGGUCCACCUAGGAUUAACCCUUUCUGCUGUAAACAUAGCAGUUUCAGAGAAACGGCUAUGUUUAUAAUGGGGUUAAUCCAGCCUCUAGUGGCUGUCUCAUUGACAGCCGCUAGAGGCGCUUCCGCACUUCUCACUGUGAUUGAUAAUGCUUUCCUAUGGACUGGCUGAAUGCGCACGGCUCGUGCCGCGCAUGCGCAUUCAGCCGAGGAGGAGGAGAGUCCCCCGCCCGGCGCUGGAGAAAGAGGUAAGUUUAACCCCUUCCAUCCUCUGGAGCCCGGUGGGAGGGGGCCCUGAGGGUGGGGGCACCCUCAGGGCACUAUAGUGCCAGGAAAACUAGUAUGUUUUCCUGGCACUAUAGUGGUCCUUUAAAGGGACACUAUAGUGUCAGGAAUGCAAAUAUGUAUUCCUAACACUGUAGUCUUAAACUGACUUUUUAACUAUCCAGACCCCCUCAGCUCACGUUAAAAGGUUUUAAACUUACCUUUCUACCCAUGUCGUGCUAGUCUUGCCCCUCAUCGUCCGUCCUCCUUGCCUGAGAUCAUAAAUUGGAUGAUCUCAGCCAAAUCAAAUCCUUUUUCCCAAUUAAUCUUUAUGGGAGACCAUAGAUGCCAGUGCUGCACACUGUUUAACACUGAGAUAGGAAGCACAUCCAGUGGCCUUUUGAGUGACUGCUUGGUGUUACCUCUAGUGGCCGUUUGGUGUUACCAGGCAGCAAUGUAAACACUACAUUUUCUCUUAAAAGGCAGUGCUUACAUUGAAAAGCCUGUGGGGACUGACUAUACACAACAGUGGUUCCGGUGACCAUAGUGUCCCUUUAAAGUAAAGGGAAUUUUUGUAGAUAGAUCAUUUGUAACGUUUUUCAAACAGAAUUGAUCAUAUGGAAAGCUUAUUAAAUCUAGGCCUAAAUCUGCUUAAAUUUAUAGUUUAAUUUAGUGAUUGUCUCAGGGCAUACACACUCUCGAACAUUAGAAGAAAAAGGCACACACAUUGGCACAUAAGAAGAUACAACUUGUGGGAUGUAUGUAUGAUCACUGACAAAAAACAGCUGGCUGCCUUAAUUCAGAGUGUUAGCCUGAUAUUAACACAGGCACGAAAAAAAAAGGGUAGGGGAGAGGAGAUCCAUAGAUGAUCCUAAACCCCUUCAUUCAGGGUAUUAUGUCUGCAUUUAAAAAAUGACCUAGUAAUAUAACUCAUAAUACAAUAUUUUAUAGUGAAUACAUAUAGGCUUUAAAACUAGUGUAAUCAAAUUUAAUCUUCUCAAUUUAUAAAAGUUUAUUACAUUACAUUAAAUGUUAUGAUAUCUUUUAAAUUAUAAAUAGUUAUUUUUUUGAGAACAUUUCACUUUUUUUAUUUGGCUGAGCAGCCAUCUUGGGUCAGACACUGGAAUUAUCUGAUCAACUGCUAAUCAGCCUAAAAUGUCUGCAGCUGUGAUUGCUGCAUGUGAAACCUCAACAGCAGGAAAGUUGAAAUUAGUUGGUCAGAUAACAGUAAAGUUUGACCCAGUAGUUAAUUAAUAACUAGAGUUUCCCGUCCAUAUAUUUUGUGCGAUGUUACUUUAUUGUUUUACAUUGUAACUUCCCUCUUUCUGGCACUACUAACAACUCUUUUUAUAUUAUUUCAUCACUUUCACGCUUUCUUUUGCAAUCACUUAUUCACAUAUAGGCACCCUUUUCAGUCUCUUACUGUGUCACUGCGCACACAUUUUAGUUUGUCACACCCUUUUGCUUACACCUCUUUAUUCUCACCCCUGUUAUUUAUACUCCAUCACCACAUAACUCGUACAUAGUUAUUCCCUGUCAAUAUUAUUCAGCAGUCCUCUCAUGGUGAAUUCUGGCAUUGGCGCAGAAGUCAGCUUAUUGGCUGGCAGGAACUGGUCUGUAGGGACAGACCUUGCAAUACAUAAUUACCAAAAGCAGAAGUGUCAAACAUGCAGCCCAUAGACUGAAUUGGGCUUUUCAAAGGGACACUAUGGGCACCCAGACGACUUCAUCUCAUUGAAGUGGUCUGGGUGCAGUGACCCAAUUUCUUUAACCCUGCAAGUGAAAAUAUUGCACGUUAAAGACAACCUCUAGUGUCUGUCUUCCAGACAGCCACUAGAGGCGCUUAUUUAAUUCUUAUGGAGUUUAACUCUGUGAAACAAUGAGGACGUCCACCAUCUUCAAAAUCCCCAUAUGAAAACAUUGAUUCCAUGCUUUCAUAUGGGAAAGAACUAAUGUGUGGACGAUGCUCGUUAUGCAUGCGCAGUAGGUCCACCAUCAAUGUGACAUAAAGAGGAGACAGGGCAAAGGGCAAGGGACCUCAGCACUGAAAUUAGGGUGAAUUAACCCUUUACACACUCAGGGGGUCACCUAAUAAGUUAAAGACGUGAACUUACUAUACCGUUAGGAGUACAGUUUUGUAUUCCAAUGCUAUAGUAUUCCUAUAAGGUUACAUUUCUGUUUCUAAAGGGGAACAUGGAUGUCAAACUCGCGGCCCGGCAAAGAUAUUCAUUGCUUCGGUCACCUGGAGGCAGCAGAGAUGAAAUAAAACAGGCGGAGAUGAAUUGAAGCAGGCGGAGGUGGUCCAGAGGCUGACAGGCGGUCCAGAAGCAAAUGGAGGCAGACGGAGGCGGUCCAGGAGAGAAUGGAGGCAGGCAGAGGUGAUUCAGGCGAGAAUAGAAGUAGGCAGAAGCAGUCCAAGAGAUAAUGGAGGCGGGCGGAAGCGAUCGAGGAGAGAAUGGAGCCGUGCGGAGGUGCACAGAUGUGCGCAACGUCAUGUCCUGAUGUGAUGUCUACAGGCUGCGCCUUCAAGGAGUUUGGCUGUGUCACAUGCUGCGAAUGGCGCUAGUGGGGAUAUAGACGCACAACACCAGAUACACAAGGUGAGUAAAGUAUGAGUCUGGAUGCUAAUAUUGUUUAUUUUUUUUAUUUGUUUUUUUAUUUUAACCCCUUAAGGACACAGCUUCAGAAGCUUGACUUACGCUUAAUGACACAAGCAAUUUUUGCAUUUUCUUGCUGUUUGCGUUCAACUGCAAUUUGCAUCUCUCUCAUUUAUUGCACCGACACAUAUUAUAUACUGUUUUUUAAAGGACAGAAAGGGCUUUAAUUUGAUAUAACAUAUAUAUAUAUAAAUGCUUACUUAUUAUAAAAAAAAUACAGAAAAAUGCAAAAAAAAUGAAAAAUAUUGUUUUUUUUUACAGUUUUUGCAAUAAUAAUGUGUGCAUAAUUAGUGCAGGUUAAGGAAAGUAAUUAAAAAUAAAUUUAUUUAUUUGUUCUGAUUUACAGAAUAUAUAAUGUGUCUGGGAUUUUAAGUUUUUUUUGGUAGUUACAGGUCACAAAGCACAAGGAGUAAAAUAAACUUUUAAUGUGGAGCGAUUUUAGAAUUUGGUAUGUUUGUCUUGUAAGCUUAAUAGCCAUAAAAGAAAACAAAAUUGCCACACAAAAGUAUAUAUUUAUAUAAAGUAGACAUCACGGGCUAUUUACCUAAGGUUGUUUUGACACUUUCUACGUAGCCAUUUCACCGCCAACCUCUGCUAAAUAUUGGAGUAAAAUUGUGUUCUUUUUGGUUUUUAGCACACAAACUUAUAACAGAGAAAUUCUCGUGUAUAUUUUGUAAAGUUGGUGUGUGCUAUUCCUGUACAAAGUUUUAUUUUGUGUUCAGUUACAUCUGCUGAGUAAAAUGACACCCCCAUUGUAUGUCUUUUGCACUAUUUCGUGAAGUUACAGUGCCAUACAGGAUACCUGUCCUUUUCAGUAUUCACAGUAGAAUUUUGAGAGAUGGAUUUAAUGAGCCUUAGCUUCCAUUUUGGGGUAUUAUAACAGUUUGACUGUUCAAAAAACCCCCACAAAGGCCUACCAUUUGUAAAAGUAGACACUCCAGGGUAUCUUAUAAGGUGCAUAUUGUGCCUUAACAUGCCCCCAUUUUUUCACCAAUAUAUGCCAAAGUAUGUGGUAAAAAAUAAUUUUGUGCAUUUUUUACAUACGGAUUGCAUUUUUGCUGGGCGUUUUGUAUAUUUCAUAUGUGCCACUAAGUUCAAACCCCCCAAAUUAUGCUCAGCUAAGUCUUCUGAGUAAAAUGACACCCCAUAUGAAUGUCUUUGGCACUAUUUCGUGAAGCUACAGUGCCAUAUAGGAGACCUGUCCUUUACAGUAUUCACAGUAGAAUUUUGAGAGAUGGAUUUAAUGAGCCUUAGCUUCCAUUUGGGGUAUUAUAACAGUUUGACUGUUCAAAAAACCCCACAAAGGCCUACCAUUUGUAAAAGUAGACACUCCAGGGUAUCUCAUAAGGUGCAUAUUGUGCCUUAACAUGCCCCCAUUUUUUCACCAAUAUAUGCCAAAGUAUGUGGUAAAAAAUAAUUUUGUGCAUUUUUUACAUACGGAUUGCAUUUUUGCUGGGCGUUUUGUAUAUUUCAUAUGUGCCACUAAGUUCAAAACCCCCAAAUUAUGCUCAGCUAAGUCUUCUGAGUAAAAUGACACCCCAUAUGAAUGUCUUUGGCACUAUUUCGUGAAGCUACAGUGCCAUAUAGGAGACCUGUCCUUUACAGUAUUCACAGUAGAAUUUUGAGAGAUGGAUUUAAUGAGCCUUAGCUUCCAUUUGGGGUAUUAUAACAGUUUGACUGUUCAAAAAACCCCCACAAAGGCCUACCAUUUGUAAAAGUAGACACUCCAGGGUAUCUCAUAAGGUGCAUAUUGUGCCUUAACAUGCCCCCAUUUUUUCACCAAUAUAUGCCAAAGUAUGUGGUAAAAAAUAAUUUUGUGCAUUUUUUACAUAUGGAUUGCAUUUUUGCUGGGCGUUUUGUAUAUUUCAUAUGUGCCACUAAGUUCAAACCCCCCAAAUUAUGCUCAGCUAAGUCUUCUGAGUAAAAUGACACCCCAUAUGAAUGUCUUUGGCACUAUUUCGUGAAGCUACAGUGCCAUAUAGGAGACCUGUCCUUUACAGUAUUCACAGUAGAAUUUUGAGAGAUGGAUUUAAUGAGCCUUAGCUUCCAUUUGGGGUAUUAUAACAGUUUGACUGUUCAAAAAAAAACCACAAAGGCCUACCAUUUGUAAAAGUAGACACUCCAGGGUAUCUCAUAAGGUGCAUAUUGUGCCUUAACAUGCCCCCAUUUUUUCACCAAUAUAUGCCAAAGUAUGUGGUAAAAAAUAAUUUUGUGCAUUUUUUACAUACGGAUUGCAUUUUUGCUGGGCGUUUUGUAUAUUUCAUAUGUGCCACUAAGUUCAAACCCCCAAAUUAUGCUCAGCUAAGUCUUCUGAGUAAAAUGACACCCCAUAUGAAUGUCUUUGGCACUAUUUCGUGAAGCUACAGUGCCAUAUAGGAGACCAAGCCAUAUCCGUUUUUACCAAACUUUUAAUUUUGACGCUGGGCCUAUGUGCAAUUUCCAAGCAUCUUCGCAGGUUUUAAAUUCAAACUACCCCACAAAGGCCUACCAUUUCUUAAAGUAGACACCCCAGGGUGUUUCAAAAGGUAUAGUUUGAACCUUAGCGUGGGAUCAUUUUUCCGCUAGCUUGUACCAGAUGUAGUGGUAAUAAGCGUUUUUUCUGCCUUUUUGACAUACAAAGUGAGUUUGCACAGUAUAUUUUGCAAACCUUAUGUGUGCUACGACUGUAUAAUACUUCAUAUGUUGCUCAGCUAUGUCGGCUGAGUACAGCAAUACCCCCGUAUGUACCUUUGCCAGGUAUGUGUGGACAUCGGAGGGGCACAUUUGGGACACAGCCAUUCCAGUUUUUUUCAAACUUUGAAUUUUUAUGCUGUGCCUAUGUCCCAUUUUAGAGUAUUUUACCAGGCUAUAUAAUCCAAAUUCCCCAUAAAGCCAUACCAUUUCUUAAAGAAGACAUCCCAGGGUAUUUCAAAAGGCAUAUUUUGAACCUUAGCGUGGGAUCAUUUUUCCGCUAGCUUGUACCAAGUGUAGUGGUAAUAAGCAUUUUUUCUGCCUUUUUGACAUACAAAGUGAGUUUGCGCAGCAUAUUUUGCAAACCUUAUGUGUGCUAUGACUGUAUAAUACUUCAUAUGUUGCUCAGCUAUGUCGGCUGAGUACAGCAAUACCCCCGUAUGUACCUUUGCCAGAUAUAUGUGGAUGUUGAAGGGGCGCAUUUGAGACGCAGCCAUUCAGUUUUUUUCUAACUUUGAAGUUUUACGCUGUGUCCAUGUUCCAAUUUGGAGUAGUUUAGACGGUUGGUUAUUGAAACUUCCCCACAAACACAUACUAUUUAUUAAAGAAUACACCCUGGGGUAAUUCAAAAGGCAUAUUUUGAACCUUGGCGUGGGAUAAUUUUUUCUCUAGUUUGUUCCAGGUGUAGUGGUAAUGAGCGUUUUUAAAAUGUAUUUUUUUACUUUUUAUAACUUUUUUACUUUUAAAAACUAGUUUUUAAACUUUUGUUUUGCUUAUAAAUUUUUUUUAAACUUUCCUAAACUUUCUUAAAACUUUUUUACAGAUUUAACAUUUUUCUAAGCUUUUUUUUUUACCGUUAACCCCUAACUAGCAGUACGCAGCAGUAACAGUAAAUUCCCCAUUUUCCCAUAACUCCCACCCACCCCAGCUAGCAAAAUAUAUAGUUAUAAAAUAUUUAAAUUAAUUAAUUAAAUAAAUUGAACCCCUGAGGGUUAAAAAAUAAAUAAAAAGUUAAUCCUCAGGGGUUAAAAAAAAUUAGAUCACAGUAUAAUACUGUGAUCUCUAUUUGAUCGCUGUAGGCAGUGAUCGACUGGCAGGGAAGGGGUUAAUUUUUAUUUGGACUAGGUAAAGUGUGUUUUUUUUACUUAAAUGUUAUUAAAACAUUUUUUUAAGCUUAAUUUUUAACUUUUUUAAGUUUCUUUUAAAACUUUUUUUAACGUUAACCCCUAGUUAGCCUAACGCCAAAUCCCCCAAUUCCCCACUAACUUCCACCUACCCCAGCUAGCUAAAUAUAUAAUUAAAAAAUAGUUUAAUUAAUUAAUUUAAUUAAUUUAACCCCUGAGGGUUAAAAAAAAAAUAAUUAACCCUCAGGGGUUAAAAAAAAAAAUCAGAUCAUAGUAAAAUGUAAUCCCUGCCAAUUGAUCACUGUAGUCAGUGAUCAAUUGGCAGGGAAGGGGUUAAUUUUUUAUUAAAAUGGGUAAGGGGGGACUUUAAAUAAACUUUAUUUUUUUUUACAGCAGGGGGCAGGAUCAGCACUGAUCCGGCUCCCUGCACUUCACACAGAACCCGGAAGUGCAGGGAGCCGGUAGGUAAGUAUAGAGAGCACAUGUGCUCGCUCAGACUUGCGGUCAGAGCGAGCACAUGUGCUGGGCAGACUGACCGGGUGCUCCCGGUAUGCCUCUAAUGCAGAGACAUACCGGGAGCACCAUUAAACCCGCGAUCGCCGCGAUAGCGGCGAUCCGGGGUUAAUUUUACCGCGUGACGGACGAGGUCCGUCACCCGUCGUUAAGGGUCUCCCCUCUGUGACGGACCUCGUCCGUCACCCGUCCUGAAGGGGUUAAACAGGGAAUGGAGUUUUGCACAGGGGGUUAGGGUUUUGUAGGGUUUUGUACAGGGGGGUUAGGGUUUUGUACAGGGUUUUGUACAGGGGGUGGGGUUUGUACAGGGGUUAGGGUUUUGUACAGGGGGUGGGGGUUUUGUACAGGGGGUUGGAGUUUUUACAGGGGUGGGGGUUUUGUACAGGGGUUAGGGUUUGUACAGGGGGUGGGGUUUUUGUACAGGGGUUCUGAGUUUUGUACAGGGGGUUAGGGUUUUGUACAGGGGGUGGGGUUUUGUACAGGGGGUUAGGGUUUUGUACAGGGGGUGGGGUUUUGUACAGGGGGUUAGGGUUUUGUACAGGGGGGCUGGGGUUUUGUACUGGAAGCAGUCUUAAACCUGCAAUGUAAACAUUACAGUUUCUCAUGUUUGCAGCUGCAAGGCUAAAAUGACAAGGACAUUGUACUCAGAACUCUUCAUUGAGAUGAUUUGGUUUGGUUGCCUAUAGUGUCCCUUUAAGGUAGUUGUAUGUUCCUUUUAUGGUUAUUUAUCUAUACACUUUGAUAUAGUAAAGAUAAUUCAACACAUUUCAUUUUGCAUUUACCCCUUCACUAUCGAGCACUUUUUGAUUAAAAAUAUAUUAGUGUAAUAUUUAGUUGAAGUAAGGGAUGUAUAGUUAGCAUAUAUAUGUUUAGAUUGCUUUGCAGACCAACUUUUAAUUACGUACUUUUACCAAAAAAGAAAAAUGUCACUUGUUCUUUUAACCCCUUAAUGACCGCGGACGUACAGGGUACGUCAGACAAAAAAUGACUGCUGGUGUACCCUGUACGUCCAAGGCACAUUUGAGCACUGGAAGCAAUCAUGAUCACUUCCAACCGCUCUAAGGGUAUUGCAGCGAUGCCUCGAUGUCGAGGCAUCCUGCAAUACCCCCCCCUCACUGCCGGGCCGCCAGGUGAUCGCUGCCCUGGAGCGAUCACUUCUGGAUUGCUCCAUGUGGCAGUGAGGCAGAGUAUUGGAAGUCAUCAGGCAGGCUUCCGAAGCUCUGCCUGCGUGCUGAGUGCCUCGAGGGGUCGAGGCACUCAGUGAAGAUAAAAUAAUUUUUAACAAAUUUUAAAAUUAAUUUUUACAUGUAAAAAAAUUAAAUAUAUGUAUGCUGGUGAAAAAAAGUUAAAAAAAAGUAUUAAAAUAAAAAAAUAAAGUUAAUGAAUUAAAAAUCUAUGUAUAUCUAUGUAUAUAGAAAUAAAUAAAAAUAAUACAAAAUAUACAUAUUUCCAUAUACAUCAUUACAGAAAUAAUUUCAUAAAUAUACACAUAGACUUCAAAUAUAUAAAUUCUACGUGCAUAUUUAUGUAAUAUUUUUACAUAAUUAAUUGAUUGCAGUUUGGGUGACCUGCCUUACAACCCAGGCCGAAAGUCCAGAGAAUUUAAUUUGCUAGCACCUGUAACUUUCCAAGACACUCUAAAACCUGUACAUGGCGGCUACUGUUUUACUUGGUAGACUUUGCUGAACACAAAUAUUAGUGUUUCAAAACAGUAAUACAUAUCACAGUGAUAAUAUUGUCAGGGAAAGUGAAGUUUUUUGCAUUUUUCACACACAAAUGGCACUUUCACGGAUUAUAUCAUUGUUUUGAACCAGUUUUGAAAAACUAAUAUUUGUGUACAGCGAACUCUCCCGAGUAUAACAGUACCAUCUAUGUACAGGUUCUAUAGAGUUUUUGAAAGUUACAGGGUCAACUAUAAGGCUUGAUUUUCCGUUUUUUCAGUCUGUUGUUCAGUCUUUUUUAGUAGACACUUAGUCAUAAACACUGGCCAAAGUUAGCGUUCAUAAUAGUUUUUUGCAUUUUUAACACACAAACAAAUAUAAAUGCUAACUUUGGACAGUGUUUGUGACUAAGAGGCUACUAAAAAAGACUGGACAUACCCCAAAUUGAAUACCCUGGGUUGUCUACUUUAAAAAAAUAUGUACAUGUGAGGUGUGAUUCAGAGAUUUAUGACAGAUAACAGUGUUACAAUAUCAUUAUUGAUAAAUUGUAAAAAUAUAUAUUUUGAAACAUGUCCUACAUGUACUUAUAGCCCUAUAACUUUCCAAAAAAAGCUAAGAACAUGUUAACAUUGGGUAUUUCUAAACUCAGGACAAAAUUUAGAAACUAUUUAGCACCGGUGUUUUUUGUCGGUUGUAGAUGUGUAAGUUCAAAAAAGUGUUUUUUUACAUGUGCUCAUCAUAUUUUAUAAAAACAUUUUAUACUAAAUUAUAUCAUGUGAUGAAAAUAAUGGUACCUUUAGAAAGACCAUUUAAUGGUGAGAAAAACAGUUUAUAAUAUAUAUGGAUACAGUAAAUGAGUAAGAAGAAAAUUACAGCUAAACAUAAACACCGCAAAUGUAAAAACAGCUCUGGUCCAAAACGGUAAGAAAAUUGAAAAGCGGUCUGGUCACUAAGGGGUUAAAAAGAUAUUUUGAAUAUGAAAAACUUUAGACAGUAUACAGUAUCCUUCAUCUUGUAAAUUUCACACAGGGUUUGAGAUGUUAAAAAAAUUAAAUUUUCUCACACAUAGUGUAAAAAUGUGACAAACAGAUAAGAAAAAAUGCUCACAUAGAAACAUAGAAACAUAGAAACAUAGAAUGUGACGGCAGAUAAGAACCAUUCGGCCCAUCUAGUAUGCCCAAUUUUCUAAAUACUUUCAUUAGUCCCUAGUCUUAUCUUAUAGUUAGGAUAGCCUUAUGCCUAUCCCACGCAUGCUUAAACUCCUUUACUGUGUUAACCUCUACCACUUCAGCUGGAAGGCUAUUCCAUGCAUCCACUACCCUCUCAGUAAAGUAAUACUUCCUGAUAUUAUUUUUAAACCUUUGUCCCUCUAAUUUAAGACUAUGUCCUCUUGUUGUGGUAGUUUUUCUUCUUUUAAAUAUAGUCUCCUCCUUUACUGUGUUGAUUCCCUUUAUAUAUUUAAAUGUUUCUAUCAUAUCCCCCCUAUCUCUUCUUUCCUCCAAGCUAUACAUGUUAAGAUCCAUAGAAAACAUACCUUGUUGAUAGGUAUUUGCAAGGACCCUGAAGGCAUUAUUAGAAGUUUAACUUACUAAAAAUGUCAGAAGAAUGUAAAAAAGAAUGUCAGCAUUUUAGCAUAAUUUCCACAUACAGUAAAUGCAGAUAAUUCACAUAUUUCUAAAAUAAAGGUAUUUAAAACUGCUAUGGCAAUCUUUAUCACUCUGUGGACUGCUAAUGCAAUGCUAGCAUUGAAAUGUAUGAAUUAUAUGACGCACUGAAACAUCCUGCACUGUUUGAAAGCAGGGGAUUAAUUUCCAUUUACAGGUAUUAUAUCAGUGAUGUGUGGUUUCCAUGAGAGAUAUUUGUUUUUUACAGCCUGAGAGUCAUAAUUAGAAUAUACAUGAGGGUGAGUGAGGCUUUGUGGACUAGAUGUCAUACUACAAAAUACAUGAAAAUAAAAACAUUUAUACUUUAUUUCGGUAUUGAAGGGGUUCAACUAUUUAUCGUUUCAUUUUAUAGUAUCAUUUUAAAAUAGACUGUUAUGAGCCAUCAAAUCCCAGAAAUACAAAAUUUUCCCAACUAUUUCCACAAGGAUAUAUAAUAUAAGGUGGACUUGAAGGUACCAUAUAUUGGGGAACCGGUUUCAGAGAGAACAGCGGUUUGUAUUAAAUGAUUAAACAAAUCAUUUUUGGUAACCAGAUAUAUAUAUAUAUUUUUUAAAGUAUUCCAAAAUUUAAACUUUUGUUACAAAAUAUGGGGCCAUGUCAGCCCAGUGCAUGAAUGAACACUGCGAUGUACCGCAGAUUUGUCUGGCAAACAACUACACUAACAGCGCACAGCCCUCUCAAGCCCAUUUCAUUCCACUGCCACUCUUUCCAAGUAAUUUUUAUCUACAUGUCUUUAAUCUAUUUUCAGUUAAUAUAUCUACUUAUUUGAUAUAUCCCCUCACUGUCUGUCCUCUCUCAAAGUUCAGUAUUUCCCUGCCUUUUCAUUCCCUAUCUGUGAAUCCUCUCAGUCACACUUGCAUUUUAACCUCUCGUGUCUUUUCCUUCGCGAUGAGCAAAAACGGUGUCUGCUAUUUCACUUGUAAAGUCAAGACAAGCGUGAGUAAGCCGGGAGUCAUACACUAAUCCUCUUCCCAUAUUGUAUUUCCAGAAACAGGAGAAGCCUCUUACACAAGACAACUGGGAAGAAACAAAAUUAACACCCUUACGUACAGCCUUCAUCAAUUCAGUUUCCUGAAUAAGGAAAUGAAUACUUUGUUAGAGGUCCUGCAGAUGUUUACUAUAUAAAUGAGGCCUAAGGAGGAAUGUUCGUCACUAAUGUAUAAAAGUAUAUUCAACAGGGGGACGGGGCAUGACUGUAAUGGCGCCUGGACACAUUUUCAGCAAGCUCCUCGAGCAAAUCUCAAUUUACCCUAACUACCUGCAUCAACAGCUAUUAAUCUGAGGCAACUCGAGCGGCUCAAGUACCCAGCACCGACUAUCCGGCUCGGGGUUUCUUACAGCAGUCACCUGAAGCCCUCUAGACGCAGAUCUACGAGUGUGGCCUGGUGUACGCCGGAGAUGGGAGAGGCAGACAAUCUCCCUACCCGGUGGGAGCUGGCUACCCUGCACACAGUACAAGCGCCCUGCUACCCCCCCUCUGGCCGGCAGGAGUCAUCCCGGCCCGCACCCUGGGGACAGCACCACAAGCGGCACUCCCAAAAUGGCGGUCGCUGCGUGCUCCACUGACCCACAGAGCAUGAUAUCCAGGCUGGACAGCAUCUUCGAGGCGUUCUGGAGGAAGCUGCAGAACAGACAACUAAAAGCUGCCACACGACUCCACAAUACCUACCCACUGGAGAAAGCACCAAGACGCCAGCAAGCCGCCGCGUGGUAAAAAAACUCCCAUAAGACGCGCCGCACAUGAAUAAGACCAUGAAAAUUGUGGCGGGAGGCGCACAAGCCUCCUCCGGGGUCAAGUAUCUGGACCUCCAGGCGAAGGGAAGUGGUCGGGAACUCACACGAGGAACCGGAGAGGCUUAUUACAGUCACGCUGACAGCAGUCCAGCGCCGAGCCUGGCCGAUCCGCAGACUCUGGGGUGACUAUGUCCUACCUACCGCAGGCAUAGGUUAAAUGGGACCAGGCUUCAACCUCACUCCCUAACACUGUUACCAAUCAAAUACCAUGGACAUCCUUCUUGUACAUCCAUCUCUGUACCGAGAUUGACGGACUCAUUCAGAAAGCUCGACCUCCUAUGCCUAGGGUUGGCUACCUGGGAGUCCCUAGGGUGUUUCCAAGCUACCUUUCAUGUCUGGCAAUUCUUUUGUUCAUACACUCAAUCUUAGUAAAUCAAACAGCUAUGUAUGCUUAGCUUAAACAUUUGUGUAUAUCAUCACUAUAUCAUUUCUUGCCUACCUCAUGUUUCUACCUUGCUAUCGCAAAAAAAAAAAUUGUGCAGCAUCCCUUGACUACCCUUACCAAUUGUUUAUGAUGAUUUAAUAUGUUGAACAAGUCAUUGUUUAUGCCUGUAAUCUAC